ensembl:lncRNA
AUAUGCAAAGGGACGGUCCGCCUUACAGAUGACGAGGAGCUGCAGCCUGAGGGUCUCAGCACUGCGCUGGGGCUGGGCAAGAAGGGGACGCCUCCCCAGACUCGGCGCACGGCUCGCAGACCGGCCGGGUGGGAAAGAUGGCACGGGGUGGGGUCCGCAGCCUCUCACUGCUCCAGUGGGGCCCGCAAGAGGUUGCACGCGGGCCCCCGGCGUGUGCUAGAGGAACUGGCGGUGGCAGCUUCGUGGGCUAGCGCUGGCCUCCAGUCCUUCACGUGUGGCGACCACGGCCUGCAGGUCUCACCGCGAGGGCUCGCCUUCCGACUUCUAACUCGCUGCAGGUUGGGCCACGCCCACCUUGAGCCCAAGCUGAGUCGCUGUGAACGUCCGGACCACGCACUGGAGGCCCUGCUCCGCGACAGCAGAGGCAAAGGGACCGGAGGCCCCUGCCUCCCAGCCCCCCAAGCCUGUGCAAGCAGACGGCAGGGACGCCAUUCCCUCCCUCCUCGCCCGGAGCGCAGCUGGGGCUGGUGGCCGGCGCCAGCAGGGGCAGCCAUCUCGGGGCCCCUGUGCCGAGCUGCUUCCCCGAGGGAGAAGCAGUGCGGGCAGGGCCACAGUCACUGCCUCCUAUGGCUUGCCCGUGGCCUUCAGCCUCUGCCUCAGCAAGCCCAGCUGGAUGCUGAGUGGCAAGCCCGAGAGCACCCCUGGCAGGAGGGCACUUGCUCCUGGGGGCCAAGGAGGCCGCAGCAGCAGGGCCCCGGCCCAGCCAGAGGUCCCCCGACAGCCCACCGCAGUCCCGUGGAUGAGGAGGUGGUUCUGACCCUCUCAAGGGACUGGCAGCCGCCCCGACCCCUGCCCUGGUGCUGGCUUUCACGCAGCCCUACAGCCUCGGGCUUGGGUAGCAGUGGGCCCUGCAGCCGGGGCUCCUCUUGCCCGUUCAGUGUCAGCCCUCACUGGGGCUUCAACACAGACUCGUUUCUUAAGAACGUUUAAAACGUGAGCACACAGAGCAAGGUUUGGACGGUAAACUGUUGUGGAUAUGAUUAGAUGCAUAUAGAUGUACUGUUCUACGUAGACAUGCUAGUGGCCCCCAGGAAAGUCAGGCUCAGGGUACCAGCUCCUGCAUUUCAGGGGCAGCUUUUCUCCUUCUCCCACACUUCAAUAAAAAGUAGGGGCAGGAAGUGAGGUGGGGACCUGCAGCCCAUCCGCUGGCAUCGUCGUGCUGUCCGCUCUUAAAUCUGGUACUGGGGAGAAGCAGGAGGGGAGGAAACACCCGUCAGAAAAUCCUGGAGCCACAGAGAGCUCGACUGGGGGAUGAGGGGACCCUGGGCUGGUGGCAUGUGGGACCUUCAGCUGAGGUAGGGUCAGUGCCCAGGCAGCCAGGGAGCCCUGGCCAUUCCCCUGAGAGCCCCUCCCCGUUGUCUCCUGCUUUCUGACCCUGACCCUCCCCUCCAUCAGAUGUCACUGCUUAAAUGUCAGUCCCACGGGGCUCGGGGCUGGGAAGUGCCGAGCCUCCCUCAUGGCCAGAUGCCAGCUUGGAGAGGCCAAGGGCAGGAAAGACUGCCGUCGGCGCCCCAGAGCUUGCUCACGUCACAUUGGAGAACAUCCAGGAGGAUGGGAGACGGAUACAAAAUGGAAAUUUCAAACAUGAAAAGCAUUUUAUACGAAAUGUUCACAGCACUGAAAAAGCAGUUUAACUCAGAACAAAGUGACUUUGGCUCUGACUCUGACAAUGAGUGAGCAAAGCUCGUGUGACACCUCACCCACCUUUGCCCACCUGCGCCCCAGGUUGUUCUCACCUGAGCACCCUGGGCUUGUGCUCUGGGGAAAAAAUUCCCUCUGGGUUUACAUUUCGUCUUCAGAAAGCCACCUCUCAUCUUCCGGAACUUUUUUGGAACUGAGGGUUUUUUUCGCCCUCUGGAGGUCCCACGUUCUUUGUUUCCCAGAUUUUCUUCUCUAUCUCUUUGAUGUUACUUAAGAAGAAGGAUAACAUGAGGGAGGGAUUAGUGAUCACUAAACCCUAGGGAUGAUCCCUCUAGCAGUAAACUGGUACAUGGUUCUAACCGGUUCUAUUAUUAGUGCUGUUAAAUAUGAAUUACUAAAAUUUAAAACAAUAUUAAAUCAAAAGCUGAUUUUAGAAUAAUUCUAUUACAGCUCAAACUGUAGAGAACCAGGCAAAUGGAACAAAAAUAUAAAUGUAUUUCUUGCUUUCUGUUGACUUAUAUUGCUGUUUCAAGAGAAAAUGGGUGUAUUCACAUGCCUUGCCAUAUAGAGGAAGAAAACAUAUUUUAAAUUCUAAUUCAGAGGCUGUCAUCCUGCAGCUCUUCACAUACUAUAGAACUAUAUCUCCUCUUUGGCAAGUAAGGUAAAGAGGCUAUUUUGUGACUGGAUAUUUGUGGCCAACACAAAGUCAGGCGAUACAUCACUGCGCAGGGGUGGGAGGAUGGAGGUGGGGAGUGGGCAUCUGCUGUUGCCCCAAAGAGACCGAACCCAACGAAGAGCAAGGUCAAAUCAAUGACCUUGACACACCUGCACAAUCGUACUGCUCCUGACGAAUUCAUCAUCCAACUUUAUAAAACUGUUAUACGAUCACCAGCUUAUCAACUGCAUAGCAGAAUUUCUUUGUCCCAUUUUUGUGAUAAGAAUUAAGGGAAUGGUCAUAAAGGGUCUAACUGGAUAAGCACAUGUGCAGAGACAUUUUUCCAAAAUAAUUAACACUGCACAGUUCUGUGAAAGGAAAAGUGUACACUGAAAUGUAACACACCAUUUAAAACUUGAACAUCAAUUGUAUUAGCACUUGUCAAUAUUUUCUAAGAUGCAAGCCACAUGUUUUAGAUUUAAAACGUUUGGUAGAUACUAACCAAACUUUAGUAUUUAGUAGCUAAAAUAAUCAAGUAUUUUUUAACCAGGAACAAAUAUAUUUUUGGUAUGCAAUUAAUUAUGUGAAUUACUUGAAAUUUGAAAAUGAGGACUUAACAAAUAUUGAAAAAUUCUUCGUAAAUAUAGGGUACAUAAAAUACUUUUAUUUUGUGGGAAUGAAAGGAUAUUAAAACAUACCUUGAAAGCAUCCAUCCUUUUUCAAAUGUUCACUCAUUUAUUUCAUCAGAAAAAAUUGAAUAUUGUAGACUAAUAUGGCCUAACAUAGCAUAAAAUUGUCUGUGAUUUCUAGAUGUGCCCACUGUGUCCCCCAGAGCAAACCCAGCCAGAACGGCUGAUUUCAGAAGGUUAUGAAUGUCUUGAUGCCCCAUUUUUGUUCUAAAUUCUCUAUACUUACAUGCAAUUUGAGUGUCAUUUAUUAUAUAUAAAUUUUUACUUUAGCUGCUAAUAUCAACUAUUCACAUGCAGUCUAGUGCAUAUAAAAUAUAAUGACCAAGGGACUUCCCUG